UACGGAGGGUGCAAGCGUUAGCCGGAAUCACUGGGUUUAAAGGGUGCGUAGGCGGUGGCGUAAGUCAGUUGUGAAAUUCCCCGGCUUAACCGGCGGGACUGCGAUUGAUACUGCGUUACUUGAAUCAGGUUGAGGUAGGCGGAAUGUGACAUGUAGCGGUGAAAUGCUUAGAUAUGUCAUAGAACACCGAUUGCGAAGGCAGCUUGCUGGACCUGUAUUGACGCUGAGGCACGAAAGCGUGGGGAGCAAACAGG
rnacentral:rRNA from 1 species